UGAGUUUGAUCUUGGCUCAGGACGAACGCUGGCGGCGUGCUUAACACAUGCAAGUCGAACGAUGAAGCCUUUCGGGGUGGAUUAGUGGCGAACGGGUGAGUAACACGUGGGCAAUCUGCCCUGCACUCUGGGACAAGCCCUGGAAACGGGGUCUAAUACCGGAUACGACACGGGACCGCAUGGUCUUCGUGUGGAAAGCUCCGGCGGUGCAGGAUGAGCCCGCGGCCUAUCAGCUUGUUGGUGGGGUGAUGGCCUACCAAGGCGACGACGGGUAGCCGGCCUGAGAGGGCGACCGGCCACACUGGGACUGAGACACGGCCCAGACUCCUACGGGAGGCAGCAGUGGGGAAUAUUGCACAAUGGGCGAAAGCCUGAUGCAGCGACGCCGCGUGAGGGAUGACGGCCUUCGGGUUGUAAACCUCUUUCAGCAGGGAAGAAGCGAGAGUGACGGUACCUGCAGAAGAAGCGCCGGCUAACUACGUGCCAGCAGCCGCGGUAAUACGUAGGGCGCAAGCGUUGUCCGGAAUUAUUGGGCGUAAAGAGCUCGUAGGCGGCUUGUCACG
rnacentral:rRNA from 1 species